UACGGGGGGGGCAAGCGUUGUUCGGAAUUACUGGGCGUAAAGGGCUCGUAGGCGGCCAACUAAGUCGGACGUGGAAUCCCUCGGCUCAACCGGGGAACUGCGUCCGAUACUGGAUGGCUUGAAUCCGGGAGAGGGAUGCGGAAUUCCAGGUGUAGCGGUGAAAUGCGUAGAUAUCUGGAGGAACACCGGUGGCGAAGGCGGCAUCCUGGACCGGCAUUGACGCUGAGGAGCGAAAGCCAGGGGAGCAAACGGG
rnacentral:rRNA from 1 species